UACGUAGGGUGCAAGCGUUGUCCGGAAUUAUUGGGCGUAAAGAGCUCGUAGGCGGCUUGUCGCGUCUGCUGUGAAAACUCGAGGCUCAACCUCGGGCUUGCAGUGGGUACGGGCAGACUAGAGUGCGGUAGGGGUGACUGGAAUUCCUGGUGUAGCGGUGGAAUGCGCAGAUAUCAGGAGGAACACCGAUGGCGAAGGCAGGUCACUGGGCCGCAACUGACGCUGGAGGAGC
rnacentral:rRNA from 1 species